GACGAACGCUGGCGGCGUGCUUAACACAUGCAAGUCGAACGCUGAAGCACCAGCUUGCUGGUGUGGAUGAGUGGCGAACGGGUGAGUAAUACGUGAGUAACCUGCCCUUGACUCUGGGAUAAGCCCGGGAAACUGGGUCUAAUACUGGAUGCUACAUGUCACCGCAUGGUGGUGUGUGGAAAGGGUUUACUGGUCUUGGAUGGGCUCACGGCCUAUCAGCUUGUUGGUGAGGUAAUGGCUCACCAAGGCGACGACGGGUAGCCGGCCUGAGAGGGUGACCGGCCACACUGGGACGGAGGCACGGCCCAGACUCCUACGGGAGGCAGCAGUGGGGAAUAUUGCACACUGGGCGAAAGCCUGAUGCAGCGACGCCGCGUGAGGGAUGACGGCCUUCGGGUUGUAAACCUCUUUCAGCAGGGAAGAAGCCACAAGUGACGGUACCUGCAGAAGAAGCGCCGGCUAACUACGUGCCAGCAGCCGCCGUAA
rnacentral:rRNA from 1 species